rnacentral:rRNA from 1 species
AACGAACGCUGGCGGCAUGCCUAACACAUGCAAGUCGAGCGAGACCUUCGGGACUAGUGGCGCACGGGUGCGUAACGCGUGGGAACCUGCCCUUAGGCUCGGAAUAACACCCCGAAAGGGGUGCUAAUACAGGAUAAUGUAUUCGAACAAAAGAUUUAUCGCCCUUGGGUGGGCACGCGUUGGAUUAGCCAGUUGGUAGGGUAAAAGCCUACCAAGGCGACGCUCCAUAGCUGGUCUGAGAGGAUGAUCAGCCACACUGGGACUGAGACACGGCCCAGACUCCUACGGGAGGCAGCAGUGGGGAAUAUUGGACAAUGGGCUAAAGCCUGAUCCAGCAAUGCCGCGUGAGUGAUGAAGGCCUUAGGGUUGUAAAGCUCUUUUACCCGGGAUGAUAAUGACAGUACCGGGAGAAUAAGCUCCGGCUAACUCCGUG